UCUCUCUCUCUCUCUCUCUCUCUCUCUCUCUCUCUCUCUCUCUCUCUCUCUCUCUCGGGUUUUUUUUUUUUUUUGAGGAAAGAGAAUAAAAAAGACAAACACAGGAAGCAGAGACAAGGAGAAAUGUCGGAAGCGAAAGACCCUGCGAUCAAGCUCUUGGGGAAGACGAUCCCGGUGCCUGAGAUCUCAAACAACAGAGUUGGAGAAGAGCGAGCGGCUGGCAAGUGGCUAGAAACCAUACUUUCCACUGCCUUGAGAAAAAAAAUAUGGUGAAGAAAGACAACUCAGUUCAAAAGUGGGUCUUCAGAGUUCCCAACCCCUUGCCUGCUUUACUCUUUGUACUGGAACCUUUUCUGAUCCUGUGGCUCGUAUUAAGAAGAUUAUGCAAGCUGAUGAGGAUGUUGGGAAGAUUUCCAUGGCUGUGCCUCUUUUAGUCUGUGAGUAAUUUGUUCAACUCUUAGCACUUUUUUUCCGAUUAUAUAUUUCUUAUUUCUAAUUAUUUUUUUUAAUGAUUAGUCAGUAGUUCACAGAUCUUUUUUCACCUUCAACAUUUAUCUUUUUCUUUGGGCUUUUGUUCUUCAUUUCAUGAAAAUAUGUUCUGGUUUUCUUAUUGUAUAUGAUAUUUAUGACCUGUUGUCGUGUAAUAUGCAGCUAAAGCGUUGUAGCUAUUUCUGCAAGAUCUAUGUGAUCGCCCAUAUGAAAUAAAAGUAGAAGAGAGGAGCAAAGACCUUGAAUUCUUUGCAUUUGUGAGCGAAAUUCCAUUAAUUAACAUUUAGUUUGUACAUAUCUUCUUUGGGACAGGAAUGAUUUAAGUUUUUACGGUUCAUUGAGUACCAAACUCUGUCCCAAUCUUUCAAAUACUAUUCCUGCACCUCUAUGUGUUUACUUCUUAUUAUUUGAGAUGGGCCUUUUGUACGUUGUUUUUCGAAUGAUAUGGUGGUUUGUACUGUUCCAAAUACCUAGAGAGAAAAUAGUUUUAGAUAGGAUUUAACUUCAAACUGGAUGUGGUGAAUAAAGGGGUUUUACACCUUCCAAUCACAUUUCGACACAUGCAUUUCAAGUGAGGUAGAAUGGAACUGCACACAGGAAAGCAAAUCUCAUUCAAUCCCCCGUUGCUGGGUUCCAACAUUCUUGAGCAAAGUUGAUGGGCAGGGAUAAUUUCUUAGUAUUGUCGAAGCCAUUCUUAUUUCACUUUGAUACAAAGAGCACCUACUUCUACUUUUGUUCCAGGAAAGGAAGAAUGUACAUGGUUGCCUAGGGAUGGGUUCUAGUUUGUGAUAUGGAGGGGAGAGAGCAGCGACCGCUGGGGCGCCGCCAGGGGGGGGGGGGGGGGGGGGGGGGGGGUUGAUAUGGAGGGGAGAGAGCAGCGACCCCCAGGGGGGUGGUUGAUAUUUACUUCCGUGUGGGGUUCCACAACUGCAAGGGGAUGAAGACUUUGAUAAUGAACUGGAACGGCUACUAUCAGAACCAUAAUGUCAAGGGCAUCUGUAGGAGAUUCAUAAAAGCUUGGUUCCUCCAUGAGCAAAGUUGAGGGGCAGGGAUAAUUUCUUAGGAUUGUCCCAAGCCAUUCUUCACUAUGAUACAAAAAGCACCUACUUCUGCUUUUGUUCCUGGAAAGGAAGAAUGUUCAUGGUUGCCAAAAGAUUGGUUCUACUCUGGGAGAAAGAGAGCAGCGAACCCUGCGCCCACCGCCGGGGGGGAGAGGGAAGAUUUGGGGAAAGAUUGUACUGUUACUGUUUUUAGAUGGUAAAUCUUAGCUGCUCUAAUAUGAUUGAUGUAUUUACGGGAAACAGAAUGUACAUUUAAUGUUUUGGAUUUUCUGGGGGAUAUCGUCAGCAAGGUUCCUGAUCUAGGUGGUUCUGAUGCUGCUGGUGAAGAUCUCAUUCUGCUACCAAAAGAAGGUUUGGAAAAACGUUGUUUUGUGACUUUUGGAUAGUGAAGAAAAAUGAGGUAUUUUAUGAGGAAUAUUUAAUACUUUGAUUCAGCAGGAAAGUUAGUGACAAUGAUGAAAAUGACAGUGAUGAUGAGUCCAAGAGAAGUAAGAUGGCGAGCUUCAAUUUGGAUGUUUGAUGGUGUAGAAUCUAUUUUUCCCCUAAACUUCACCAGUGGCUGUGGAACAUAUGUUUCGGAACUUUGAAUUGGAGGAGGCUGGCCACACAGCCAGCAGUGGCGGAAGAAGGGUAGGGGCAGAGGUAGAGAUCGUGGGCAGUAGUCGAACAGUUGAGAAAGAGGUGGCUGCUCACUCAAGCAAUAAUUGUUAAUGUUCCUGGUGUGGAAAAUUUGGUGGUUGGAUGUUGAGUUUCAAUGCCUAAAGCAGCAAAGCAAGUACAAAUUCACAUUAUUCAAUUUAAAUUGGUUAAAAGCUGAACCGAUUGAAUCAUAUGACUCGAUUCAAUUAUUGCUAUCAUCCAGUGGUUAGUUUUGGGUACUGGAUGAUAGGCUAUCAUCCAGUGGUAGGUGGUUACAUGUGGUAUGAUAUGUCAAGUAUAUUUUAUGGUACAUUUACCAUAAAUGAAUAUUCUUUUGUUGGUAGAUAAAAAUAUUUAAAAAAACAUUAAAUUCAUUUUAAAAAACUUUAAAUCCAGUCC